GAACCUUAAAUUCUGGGUGUGUCAGAGAUUUUGGCACUCAAGAGACCCUGAAAUACUGGUGUGACCCAGUUCCUCUUAUGCUGGGAUUCUGUUGUCCUAAGAUCCUUGGCAUGUUACAGUGCCUGGAAGUGGUGUCUCCUUUGCGGACCAUGGAACUGUCUGGUCAGUGGGUUGACUUUUUUUUUUUUUAAACAUGGAUUCUUGUAUAUAAUUUGAGCUCUCAGAGUUGUAUGGUGAGUCCUUUACUGACGUCUGACUUCCCCAAGUUGCAUUAAAUUACUUUCUACUGAUAAAUAAUAUUCCAUUAUAAAACAUACCAUAUUUUACUUAUGCAUUUAUUAGCUGAUAAACAUUCAGGCUGUUAUAAAUAAUGAUGUUGUGAACAUUCAUGUACAAGGUAAAUGUAGAUUUAAGUUCUCUUUGUAGAUCAGUAACAAUUUUUUUUUUGUUCCACCUAUAGGGUUGCAGACCCAUUCAGUUCCUUGGGUGCUUUCUCUAGCUUCUCCACUGGGGGCCCUGUGUUCCAUCCAGUAGAUGACUAUAGGUCUUACAUGGUAUGUGGAGUUCACCAACUCAGCUAUCCUAGCUGGCCAGCAAGCACCAGGGAUCCUCCUGUUUGCACCUCCCUAACACUGCGAUUAGAAGAAGCAUGGCCACGCCAAAACCGAAACUGUCACACAUGUGUUGGGAACAUGGACUCAGGUUCUCAUGUUUGCAUAGCAAGCUCGACAUUGAAUGAGCUAAGUACUCUGGUGCCUCUUAAACUUGGUGAAUCAAAAUUCAUAGCCAAAAGGAUGCCAAGCUCCAAAGCAUGUCCAAAGCCAUUGGUGGAUUUUUGCAAAGGGUCCUUGUCUGGGGAAGUUAUUAUUUCACAGGAACACUACCAAAAGGAGUUGGUGUUACAGACAGCUGGAGUACAAAGGAGAACUGAAGAAGACAUGAAGCCAGUGUCAGACUUUUCCUAUCUGCUCUCAUACUAGAUAAGAAAAGGCAGAAAAACAUUCCUUAAUUAUGUCGCUUUGUACCACAUUUGACUUGCAUAACCUAAAUUCUGGAAGAAACUGAGGACAUAAUUCAAUACUUACCUAAGUCUGCACUGAGGUGUGGGUUGUGUAUCUCAUACCAUUCUAGUCAUGUAAUCAUGGACUAGAAUGUAUACAUGUCCUCACUGGUACCCCCUAGCAGGUGUUUUUUUGUUCGUUUGCACUAAAGAAUAAAGUAUAUCACAGGAGUACCUUGGGUGGUUGUGCUCUGAGUACAGACACUCCAAAGUAAGGGACCUGACCUGGGGCAUCAACAUCUGUAGACUGUCAGGUCAGAUAGCAAUGAUACAAUUUAACUCACACCCAGGAAGUCAACUCUUUUUUAAUUUUUAGCAAUUAUAUAGGAAAUUCACAAAAUGGAGUUUUGAUUUCUCAAUAUGGCAAAUCUUAAAGGCCUUGUGUAAAGAGCUCAUGAUGGACAAUGACUUCAGCUGCAUUCGGAAAAGAACGGUUCACUAGAAACUUUUUUCCAGUGAGUCUAACUGGGUUCUUAUUUAAUUGUGAGGCUUCCCCUCAAUUUAAGAGAAUACUUCCCAGUUUCAAACUCUUUAUUCAGAGUUCUUGGAAGACAGUGAAAUAAUUGAAAUUUUCAUCAAAACCAUAUAUCUUCACAUCUUCAAUAUUUAUAAUUAUAACAUUUAAUGCCUUUUAAGAUUAUAAUUUGUACUUGCCAUGCCAAAUUUACCCGAUUUUUAUGUAGACUAUUGAAGAAGUCAGAGGAGAUUGAAUCUCAUAAAUAGAGCUGUGGCUGCCAGGUGUGCUGGGGCAUCCUUUAAUCCUAGCACUAGGGAGGUAGAGGUAGGAGGAUUAGAAGUUCAAGGCUAACCUCAGGUAGCAGCAAGUAUAGGGCUAGCAUAUUCUAUAUGAGACCUUGAAUCAAAGGUAUGAUUGAAAAACCAAACCAAAUCAAAAGGCUGGGGACUACCACGUUAGCUGAAAAUUCUCAAAAAUGUAUUCUGACAUUUGAGCACACACAUUCAUACUUAAAAUGAAUUGAGGACACUUGUGUAACUUCUGGAAUCCUAGCUUUAGCAAGUUCCCCCACUUCUAAUCUAAUUCUGGCCUCAGAAUCUACAACGAGGGAAAGAGAGCUAGGAUCAUUUUUCAUUCCUCGGGCAAAUAUUUAUCAAGAAUCUGUAAAUGGCAGCUGGCCUGUUGUGUGUGUGAACCACAUAGCCCUCCAGCAUCAGCUCUGAGGAGCACCAUUCAGAGAAGAAAAAGGUGAUGGGUGGAAAGAUAAGUCCUGCUUCUCAUAAUGUACAGAGAAUGUAUCUAAAUGUACUUCAGAGAGUUUAAAGUGAUGAGUAAUGAUAUAAUCAAUAUAAGUACUUCAGAAUAUUUUUCUUAUAGAUGUAAUUCUCAGCGGCAUGGAAACCUACAGCAAUUAUAUUCUGCUCUCAAAAAUCCUUGUCUGACUUAUAUCAGGGCCGGUGGUGGGCUGAGACCUUGACUUCCAUGGUAUUCUGCUCAUUAGGUUGAUCUAGAAUCACUGUAGAAACCCCCCUUCUUCGUGCAGUUCCUUCCUGCUAGGGAUAUAUUUGCUUCUCAAUGAGCCUUCCCUGGAGAUGGAGAGCACAGUAAUUCUGUGGUUGUAUGUUCCUUAACAGUGAGGCUAUGCUCAGAGAAAUGAUUCAUAAAAUAAGACUUCAUUGUGUGCACAUCCCAAAGUGUACUCCCAUCAGUACAGUAGAUGCUGUAGGUCUGACAUUCAGCGUGGCAGAUUUGGUGAAUGUGAGAAGUAUGAGCUGCCACCCUAUCAACAGAGCAUGGUGUUCUACAGUAAAGCUUUUCUAGGCCAGAGCACCCUCUAAAACAGACGUUCUCAACCUGUAGGCCAGGAUCCCUUUGGGGGGGAUUGAAUGACCCUUUCACAGGGGUCAUAUACCAGAUAUCCUGCAUAUCAGAUAUUUACAAGAUGACUCAUAACAGCAAUGAAAUCACAGUUAUGAAGUUACAAUAAAAAUAAUCUUGUGGUUGUGGUCCCUAGAACAUGAAGCACCCUAUUAAGGGGUCGCAGCAUUAGGAAGACUGAGAACCACUGCUCUAAAACAAUGAUGGAUGUAAGCAUGUGAUGGAGCCUCUUAUUGUCAAAUCAGUUAUGUGCCAUGCUGCUCCACUUUCAUACAAAUGGCACAGUGCUAAGUUCACUUACACAAGUUCCACCAAAGCACUCUGAUAAAUUCAUUAUGUGGUGACAUAGCAAUGAUUAGGCCACCACUAUGUGAUAUGAAUGUUCAGUAUUGUUAUAAUUUUAUAGGACCAUCAUUGUAUAUACAGGUUAUUGUUAGCCAAAAUGUUAUGUGGGCAUGAUUUUAAAUAAAAAUAGUCUAUUCUAUUAAACAGGUAUAUUUAGAGCUAGGAAACUGUGGUCAGAGUGAACUUCUAUGAGAGAUUUUAAAAGUAGGGCAGUUUCAAAUGACUACAAAGUCUCACAAAAUGAGAAAGGCCAUGGAGAGGUGGAGAGAGUGAACUGUGGCUGAGGUUAAAAUGGCUGUUCAUUAAUAUGGUGUAGGCAAUAAAAAGUCAAAAUGAGUGUGGACUUGUGAGACUUACAGAUGGUUUGGCAGGGAUUCUAAGCAUCUUCUACCUGAUGUCACCUAUUUAUGCUUUUCAAGUAAAGAUUAUCUAUGGGUAGAACAGUGAAGUGUGGAAGUUUGGAACAGAAGGAAAGUAAAUCAAACUGGAAAUGCCCAGCAGAAGGGGAGUUCUGGUGAGUACUACAGAAUGACUGGAGCAUAGCUGGGUUCUGUUGCUCCAGCAAACCCAUCUGAAUGUGCCCUCAGAGCUUAUGUUACACAUGACAGCAUAAGGCCACAUUCAUCCAGAGUCAUAUUAAGCAUGAAGUGCUAGGUCCAGGUCCCAGGGUACUGAAGACUUGGAAUGGAUCCAAAAUACACAUUUCUAACAAGUUCCCAAGGGAUGCCACACUGGGACACAUUUGAGAACCACUGUUCUAAAUCUCUCUCCCUUGUAAAUAUUCUAACCUACCAGUCCCAAGAUCUGGCACAUUGUAGUUUUUAUAAAAACAUAUGAUGGAAGCAAUCAGACUUGAAUAUAUUGGACCCUUACAUCAUUUUCCUGGCUCUCUAAAUUUCUAGUGUUUUCAAAAAAUUUAUUGCUAAGUAUCAUUCAUAAUAUGUCCCAAAAUAAUGCAUUCCACGUCUUUCUACUUAAGAUGUCUCCUUCUUGUUUGAUACAAUUUCUCCCCAACUCCAUCUGUCACUACUUCUAUCAAAUUGGAUGCUUCCUACAUAUAUACAUUUUUAAUGUUUAUAAUGACACAAAUAUUACCCAUGGCUCAAAGUGCUUCUACAUAAAGAUUCCUGGGAUAUGGUCCAAAGUAUUUUGUCUUCCUUUACUGAACAAUAUUGUACCAAAAAUUUUUCAUCAUACUUUUCUUCUUAAUGAUCUAAUGAUGAUACCUUUUUCUUUACACUAAGAGUAAACACUUGAUAAGUAGCAUUUUAUAAAAUACACAUUUAUGUCUCCCAAAGAGUGUUCAGCAUGGCAGUAAAGAAGCUAGAACUACUUAAGUGAAUCUUACUGAUAGCAUGUAAUUCCUAUGUUCUAUUAAAGUUUAUGAAAUGAAUUGCAACUGUGAAUCAUAUAUCCCAUUUGUUUGUCCAGACUACAAAAAUGAUUUUUAAAGAAGUCAUGAUGUUGACCUUGUGUCCUUGGUUGUGACAUCAUGUGUGUUCCCUGUUAUCAUUUUCUUUUGUUAAACAUAUACAUAGUGUGGGGCUAAAGAGAUGGCUCAGAGGUUGAGAACACUGACUACUCUUUCCAAGGUCCUGAGUUCAAUCCCAUUGGCUACAUGGUGGCUCACAACCAUCUGUGAUGGGAUCUGGCUCCCUUUUCUGGCAUGCAGGUAUAUAUGCAAGCAGAACACUGUGUACAUAAUAAAUAGAUAAAUAAAUAACUGUUUAAA